rnacentral:misc_RNA from 1 species
AACAAGGCGUACCUGCGGACCUGCGGAGGGAUCAUUACAGAGUUCGUGCCCUCGCGGGUAGAUCUCCCACCCUUGUGUAUUCCUUACAUUUUGUUGCUUUGGCAGGCCGUUGGUUCGCCAACCACCGGCUCUACGGGCUGGUGCGUGCCUGCCAGAGGACCCCCCAAACUCGGUUUGUUAGUGUCGUCUGAGUAACCAUAACAAUCGUUAAAACUUUCAGCAACGGAUCUCAGAUCGGAA